UACGUAGGGGGCUAGCGUUGUCCGGAAUUAUUGGGCGUAAAGAGCUCGUAGGCGGUGUGUCGCGUCGGCCGUGAAAACCUGGGGCUUAACUCUGGGCGUGCGGUCGAUACGGGCAUCACUAGAAUCGGUAGGGGAGACUGGAAUUCCUGGUGUAGCGGUGAAAUGCGCAGAUAUCAGGAGGAACACCGGUGGCGAAGGCGGGGUCUCUGGGCCGAUAUGACGCUGAGGAGCGAAAGCUGGGGAGCGAACAGG
rnacentral:rRNA from 1 species